CAGGAUUGGCACCUACCUAAAUUGUGAGCCGCUACUGUUUGGCCCGGCGGCUGCUGAACCUUGGUCCGAAUGAUCCUGCAGGAGGAGAGAGGAGACAUUAGUGUGUGUGAAGUGGUCAUUUGUGCGUGUGAAAGAGAGAGGGAGGCAUCAAGGACAUGAGAACAUGAGCGUCGUGGGAGCCACGCUGUGUGUAAGCAUACGAAACGAGUCGGGAUUUUCUCUUGGAAUUGGCUUUGUAAAGGUGAUGGGGAAAGUAUUUGGACAGAAGGAGAAAGGAAGGUGAAAAGGAGAAAUUAAAGUUGGUAAAGAGAGGAGGAACCUGAAGGAAUACUACCCAGGCCAGAGGUUCCAUACCUGCCCAGUAUCUUGCUGACACACCCAUGGCUGACGCGUAGCUGGCGGGAGAUGUCACAGGGACGCACGCCUGUGUGGGCAAGUUCAACUAUUCGCUGUCGCACAACAUCUGGAAGAGGUCGGCCAUUUACG